GCGGCGGCAGCGUCCCCGCUCGGAGCUCAGCUGCCCUGCCCUGCCGGGACCGGGGGAGCGGAGCGGAGCUGGAGCGAGCCGCGGGGUGGCCGCGCCGCCGGGGGGGUUGAGGGCGCCCCGGCGGUCUCGUCCCAGCCGGAGCGCGGGCCGGGCGCGCCGCGGCGGCCCCCGGCGCCCCUCGGUGGGGCGAGGGCGCCCCCGAGCGGCGGGGCGCUGAGCGCGGCGCUGAGGGCUGCCCGCGCACCGCCGCUCUCCCUCCUCCUCCUCCUCCUCCUCCUCCUCCCGCGCGGGGCCGGGGCUGAGGCGGCGGCAGGCGGGCCGGGGCAGAGCAGCAUGCUGCCUUCGCUCUCCCCGCGCCGCUCCGCCUGACGGGGGACGGGGGGAGCCAUGCAGCCGGCGCUCCGCUAGGUGAGCGCGGCGCGGCUCGGCUCGGGCCGGAGCUCCGCGGGCAGCCCCUCAGCAGCGCGGCGGCACCGGCACCAUGAGGAACGGCGAUGACCUGGAGGGCUUCGACGGCGAGGCGUCCAGCACCUCCAUGAUCUCGGGGGCCAGCAGUCCCUACCAGCCCACGACGGAGCCCGUCAGCCAGCGCCGCGGGCUGGGCGGCCUCCGCUGCGACCUGGACUACCUGCGGGGCACCUUCGGCAGGAUCAAGCUGGCCGAGGUGGUUUUGGCACUGAUUGCAUUCAUCUGCAUAGAGACCAUCAUGGAAUGCUCCCCUUGCGAAGGCCUUUAUUUCUUUGAGUUUGUGAGCUGUAGUGCAUUGGUGGUUACUGGAGUUCUGUUGCUUAUGUUCAGUCUAAAUCUUCACACAAGAAUACCGCAGAUCAACUGGAAUCUUACUGAUCUGGUCAACACUGGACUCAGCACUUUCUUCUUUUUCAUUGCCUCUGUAGUACUUGCUGCUUUAAACCAUAAAACUGGAGCAGAAAUUGCUGCUGUGAACAGAUGGAUGAGUAAGAUACUGUCUCAAAGCACAAAUCCUACAAGAAACUUGACUCUUCUGAAGUCAGGACAAGAGCUCAUUUCCCCUUCUGACAGGUGGAGUGCAUGGACUCCCUGAGCAAUAUUGGAUACUAUCCAUUACUGUCUUUUCUGAAUUAUAAAAAGGCUUUCUUUUUCCCUUGGGAUUACAUCCUCAGCACUGAUAGCAGCUAGGAGUUGGAAUUGUUCCUGCGCUGCUGUUGAAGGGAGAACAGACCCACUGCAGCCCGUCAGGGACGAUGCAGAGGCCGGGGAGGCAGCUGACAUCAUUGCACGCUGCUACACGUGCCCUGGUGCCCUCCGCUCGCUGCUCCGUGCGGUCAAAUGCCUGCUCCUCAUUUCCCCUCCACAGAAAAGCACAAGUUUGCUUAAACAGUUUGAAAAGUGGCUAGUGGUGAUCUCUUUUGGAUAAGAGUGCAUUUUGUUAUUGUUUAUUGGCAGAGAGAGAAAGUAGAUCAUUUGGUGGUCUCUGCUAUUUAGUUACUUCUCCGUCGUACUUGUCAUGGAGGUGAAGUUCUUGGUUCGCCCAGAAUUAGCUGCAAGGGUUGCCCUCUGGCUACAGACCCAGAGAAAGGCCCAGGGGUCGUCUUCGAAGGAGGCUUUACACAGAACAGCUGGAAGUUUCAGUUAUGAAGGUCAGUUCAGAGAAGACUGAAAAAACAGAAGACAGGAAAAGAGGAGAAAAAUAGGCACAAUGAUUUCUGCAUCUGUUGUGUCACCACAGAGGUGACACAACCUUAUACAGGACAACCUUACAUAUUCAUAUUACAUUUUUAUUAAAAAAAUAUGUAGUCCCACUGCAUACUGGCUUCAGAGGACUAAGGAGAUGCCAAUUAAAGUAGUCACCAGGACAAAUGCAAAAGCUUGACUGAAGUAGCUGGGGUGAGCAGCAGAAUGUAUAAAUGUGGAUCUUGUCUGGACAAGCUCUGGUGGCAGGUAUGAGAGUGGCUGUUAAAUGGUUCCAGCAUGGGAGAGAGGGAACUGAAAAAUGCUUCUUUUAACGGGGGAAAAGAGCAUGGAUGAGAUGCUGACCUUCAAGACAGCAACUUGAGUAUUUAGGAAAAAUGAGUUGCUUAAGAGGAGUGUUAAAAUAUAUGGAAGAAAUAAUGGUGUGGGGAAAGAACAGAAAGGAAAAAAGGAGGAGGAAAAAAAUUAACCUGGGAGAUAAAGACUGGUCAUUAGAAAGUGGACAAGCAAGUGAAUGAGAAUAAAUAGGAUCAGGAGAGACAGCAAAGCUUAUACAUGUACUUGAUGCUACUACUACUUUGUGGCUGCGUAGCUCUCCCAGGUGGGAUAAAAAAUUAGUAAGGCAAGAAGAUCAAAAGGAAAAGGAACAGGGGGUGGAAACUUCCUUCUCUGAAUAAAAUUUGAGAUUAUAAUUAAGCUUCUAGCAGUAAUCAGCUUCAUCACCAGUGUAACUUGUUCUAGAGGAAGCACCAGAAUGCCCAGACCUGAGAGCCCACAGAGCAGUUUACACGCCGACAUGACAAUUACACCCAAAUGUUGUAAAGAUCCAUACUCACUUCAUGUGAAAAUAUGUGUAAAUGUUAUUUUUAAAAAUAAGUGGCUACAGCAGUUUCCUUCAGUCUGACCAAAGCAAUCCUCGCUGGCAGCGCUGAGCUCCCACGCUCCCGGUGCAGCUGCCUGCGUGACCUUCCCUGGGACGCCCUGAGCCGCAAUGCGGGCACCAGUGCUCCCAGCCGCCUCCAGCAGCGCAAGCGAAGGGAACGGGCUGGCGUGAAUGUGGCAGCUGUCUUAAUUCACAAAGACUGAGUCGGUCUGCUAUAACUUACGACAGCUGAACCGAUCGUUUGCCAGCCACUUCUACUGGGCGAAACAAGACUUUUUAAUGAGGUUGCUCCCACCAAGUACACACCAAGCACGGUAACUGGGCUGAGGGAAUUUGCUGAAGCCAACUCCCGUUCCCUUUCUGCCAUAGACCGAAAAAAAGAAGUAUAACUGUCUACCCCAGUCAAGAUAUGGUUGUAAAUUGCUUCUUUGGUAAUAUAUUUUUCAGUAUAUGGUGGUUUGCUUUUUGAAUGUUGAAAAAAAUGACUUGGCGUUUCCUUCAGCUGGACUGAGAACCUCUGAUGUACCCGCAGAGAUUGCCAGUAUUUGCAUGACUUUAAAGAUGGAGAAAUAAAGCACAUUUCUCGUGA